rnacentral:rRNA from 1 species
AAAUUGAAGAGUUUGAUCAUGGCUCAGAUUGAACGCUGGCGGCAGGCCUAACACAUGCAAGUCGAACGGUAACAGGAAGCAGCUUGCUGCUUUGCUGACGAGUGGCGGACGGGUGAGUAAUGUCUGGGAAACUGCCUGAUGGAGGGGGAUAACUACUGGAAACGGUGGCUAAUACCGCAUAACGUCGCAAGACCAAAGAGGGGGACCUUCGGGCCUCUUGCCAUCAGAUGUGCCCAGAUGGGAUUAGCUGGUUGGUGAGGUAACGGCUCACCAAGGCGACGAUCCCUAGCUGGUCUGAGAGGAUGACCAGCCACACUGGAACUGAGACACGGUCCAGACUCC